AUCACCUUGCUUUUAAUGUACUUCCAAGCUCCCACAUGCACCAACCUACAAUAUCACAACCACAACGGUUUAAUUCGCAGCAUGAUAAUCAACCACUAACAAUUUUGAGAAUAGGAGUUAAUAGCAAGCUACAUAGUGUAAUCACAAACUAACUGCAUAUUAACUAUUUUCAUCAAAUUAAUCAACAGAAGUAGGGAAUAACAAUUGACAGUCCAAGUGUAUUCUAACUAACAGUUUUACUAAUUAGCAUGCUACACCAUACACUAACAAUGAUUAAUAAUCCAAUUUCAUUAACAAAAAUCAAACCAUUUAAUACAAGACUAACUACUUAACUGUUUCACCAUCACAGUUUUUUUAACCAGAUCAAUAUAACAAUACAUUUUCACUAACUGUUUUCACUCUUUUUCAUCCAACGGCAACAUUUAAAAUGGCAGUAGAAGCUCAUUUAUUUACAACAAAAUCGAUUCAAGAAUAAUCUGAUUCAAAGAAUAUGUAAUAACAAUAACAACUUGCGUUUCAUUCACUAACCCCAAUUGAGUUCAAUUCACCUCACUAACAGAGUUGAAACCUAAAAAUCAAAACCAACUAACCGUUCUGCUGCUAAUCAACAGAUUUCUAACUGAACUCUCCUAAGGAAUUCAGCAGGCCAGAACUAAGUAAUUAACGGAGUGAACUCUGCAACAAACUUGCACUAUCAAUUCUAACAGAUCGAUAACUCUGUUAGUUUCAAUCGCUCUAUAUAUUGCACUCAUCAUUCUUCAUUUUUGGGGAUCAUCAUUCUUCACUCAACCAAAAUCAUCAUCUUCUUCACACGCACAACUUCACAGUUCCAGAGAUCUCUCAUACUCCCUCUCAUUCAUACCUCUCUCUCACACGCAAGUCGAGCAGAGGAAAGCAAGAAGAACAAGGUAGAGUAUAAGAGGAUUGAAGCAACAGAAGAAAGCACGAAGAAGAUGAGAUAGUAUCACUGCGUAUCUGAUUCGAAGCAACUCUGAUUCAUCUUCUUCAAUAUAUCAUCACGCCGGAAAAAGCCUCUAUUUCGAAGGUUUUCAGUCUAAUCGGAGCCCCGAUCAAGAAAAGGAGUGAAAAUGAGCUAAAAAGACUAAAAUUCAGUAUUUUGCACUUGUGGCUCCCACUGUGGUUGGCGCCAUGGGUCCAGUCAUGACGUGUCAUAGCUCAACUUCCCUCAACUGCCACGUCUCCCACUAUCUCCACUUGGGCGCCACAAUUUUCCCUUGUGGCGGGCGCCAUGGUGUUACGGCGGGCGCCACAAGAAGAAAGUUUUUCCCUACAAAUUUCAAACUGAAGGGCAUCCUUGUCAUUUCCAUUAUUUUCCUUGCCUAUAAAUACAGACUCGUUUUCAUUUGUUUCACCAUCCAAACUUAGAGCAAACUUAGUUUCACUUAGGCAUAUAUUCAUUAUUUAAAAAGUGGUAAUCGCUUCGCAUUGGGGUGUUGCCACAAUUGUGUAAUCAAGUUUGUGAUCGAGUCUGUAAUCGAGUUUGGAGCACUUUUGAAGGAAGUUAAUCCUGCCGCCAUUUUCAUUUUCAUUUCAUAUUUUAUUAAACCCUCCGAUUGGAGCAGGUUUUUAUUGCUUUA